GUUGACGUCUAUCACAUGGAUCAACGAGUUUGUGAAGCUUGGUGGGGAACAACUUGUUCCUUACUAUGCAGAUAUAUUGUGUGCUAUCUUACCAUGCAUAUCUGACGAGGAGGAGAAAAUCCGAGUGGUUGCACGUGAAACAAAUGAGGAACUAUGUGCUAUAAAAGCUGAUCCAACUGAGGGAUUUGAUAUUGGAGCAAUCCUUUCAAUCGC